UGAAGACCACGAGCUCUAUGGAGCCCA
rnacentral:piRNA from 1 species